UACGUAGGCAGCAAGCGUUGUUCGGAGUUACUGGGCGUAAAGGGUGUGUAGGCGGUUGGAUAAGUGUGGUGUGAAAUCUCCCGGCUUAACUGGGAGGGUGCGCUACAAACUGUCUGACUAGAGUGUGGGAUGGGUAAGUGGAAUUCCUGGUGUAGCGGUGAAAUGCGCAGAUAUCAGGAAGAACACCCGUGGCUAAGGCGGCUCUCUAGUACGGUACUGACGCUGAGACGCGAAAGCGUGGGGAGCGAACAGG
rnacentral:rRNA from 1 species